AUUCACGUCUCUCUCUCUCUCUCUCUCUCUCGAGCUGCCAUCCCUCUCCCUUUCUCUCACUUGAAUCCCUCCCUUUCUCUCUCUCUCUCUCUCUCUCUCUCCAUGGUCUUCCACUAAAAAUACUUCAGCCAUGAGUUUCUUUUCAAGCCACCACAACCGGUUGUGAAGAAAAGAUUUUGGGAAGAGAGGGACUCAUUUGGCCAAGCAAGGAAUUUGAGGUUCCGAGAUUUUUGCUGAUGGACCUAGUGAUGGGAUUGGUUGAUUUCAUGGUGCACAGUUGAGGUCUUCUGAAAACAAAAGCAGGUUGAUUCGGAGAAGGAAGAGUUGUUUCACAACUUAGCAUGAGAAGAAUUGCCAACAUUGUUGGUCG